AUUGAACGCUGGCGGCAUGCCUUACACAUGCAAGUCGAACGGUAACAGGUCUUCGGAUGCUGACGAGUGGCGAACGGGUGAGUAAUACAUCGGAACGUGCCCGAUCGUGGGGGAUAACGGAGCGCAAGCUUUGCUAAUACCUCAUACGAACUACGGCUGACAGCAGGGGACCGCAAGGCCUGGCGCGGGGGGAGCGGCCGGUGACAGAUAAGGUGGUCGGUGGGAGAGUGGCUUACCAAGCCGACGAUCUGUAGCUGGCCUGAGGGGACGACCGGCCACAUGGGGACUGAGAUACGGCCCAGACUCCUACGGGAGGCAGCAGUGGGGAAUAUUGCACAAUGGGCGGAAGGCUGAUGCAGCAACGCAGCGUGUGGGAUGACGGCCUUCGGGUUGUAAACCGAUGUCGCCUGUGACGAAGCGUGAGGGACGGUAAUGGGUAAAGAAGCACCGGCUAACUACGUG
rnacentral:rRNA from 1 species